CAUGGAUAUUUGAAAAUCGUACAAUUGGUCUUGGCAAGAUAUUAAUAUAAAAACUGUAAAAACCGCUGAAGUUCAUGAGGACGGCGUGGGAAAUAUCUCCGAAAACAUCCGAUUGCUCCCAAACCAGUGCGGUAAAAUCCCGGAAAUAUCUGAAGUGGCUCGGAUCCGUGGGAAACGAAACUGACGUGGUAAAGUGACGCUUCCCGCGCGCUAGAUUUGUGUGUAAUUAGGAUCUCAUUGGAAUGACAACAUAUAAUCUAAUAAAUGAAUAUGCACCCCAACCAAAGACGAUAUUUCUACGACCGCAACCGACUUUGGCAUAUGAUCGGAACAUAAAUAAACUGCAAAACCUAGUCUAGUUACCUGGUAAAUACAGUACAUGGUUAUGGUACAGAACUAUCCAAAACCAAUGAAUCGUUUUGUUUACAAAUGGUGAUUUCAUUUAAUUAGUAACAAGGAGCAGAAAUCUUACAUGGUUAUUAGGUUAGACGGCAAACAAGUAAAGUUUCAUAGCUGUACAUUUUACACCUCAUCCAAUGUAAUUUUUUAAAGUAUCCAUUCCAAAUAUCCCUUGAAAAUGUCUGUAAUUUCUCACUCUACACCUUACACUAUAAACAAUAGCAGUGGUAGUUUAUUCAAUAAUAAGAAAACUAUGAAAUCAGAGUAUGCGACACUAGCUCUUUAAAUUUAAUUUGAGUUUAAUAGAAGAAUACUAAUAUAAUUAGAUAGAUUGAAAAUCAAAGAUUUACAGUUUAUAAUUUUAUUCUUUUGUGAGUGAUCUACGUUCUAAUCAUUAAGGAGUAAAGUGAAAAUAGAGACCCACCGCAAAACACCGAAAACUAAGAGUAUUCCAGUAAGCUUACGCGCUUGCCCGUGGCACUGAUCAAAAAAUACCUGUUUAGAUACAUAGUCAAAUUUUACGAGAUAAUUCACUGGUUAGAUUCAACAAACAAACAUUUUUUUUUAAAUAGUGAAUUCUCGAGUGAGUUAGAGAUCGUAUGUGUAAUUUGGGUUCAUGAAACUAAUGGUGAACUAAUGUCGCUAAAUUUCUGCAAAUGAAAAUGUUUGUAACAAAAAUUAAUAGGAAACCUUUUUGCGUGUGAGUUGGCAAAAUAUAAAACUUAUGAUACCGAAAUCUUGUUAGCACUUAUUCUGAAAUGAAAAA